rnacentral:rRNA from 1 species
UACAGAGGGUGCAAACGUUGUUCGGAAUUACUGGGCGUAAAGCGUGUGUAGGCGGCUUUGUAAGUUACUUGUGAAAUCUCUGAGCUUAACUCAGAACGGUCAAGUAAUACUGCAGAGCUUGAGUGCAGAAGGGGCAACUGGAAUUCUUGGUGUAGCGGUGAAAUGCGUAGAUAUCAAGAGGAACACCUGAGGCGAAGGCGGGUUGCUGGGCUGACACUGACGCUGAGGCGCGAAAGCUAGGGGAGCAAACAGG